rnacentral:tRNA from 1 species
AGAAGUGUGAUGAAAAGGUAGACAUAAUAAUGUUAGAUAUUAUUUAUAUGGGUUCAAUUCCCAUCAUUUCUA